rnacentral:RNase_P_RNA from 1 species
AUGAGGGGGUGCUUGACUCUCUCUUGUGAGGAAAGUCCGUCCACACAAAAAGGUCACUCGAAAGAGUUCCAGAAAUGGAAGGCAACUGCUCAGAAACGAAACGGCCUUUUGGGAUUAUGAUUUGGCGAAGUUUUUCGUGAGAAAAACGAGUUAACCCAAUGAAGUUCCAAAAGGAUACGGUGAAACGGCAAGUCCUGACCGUGCAAGCUUUGAAAGCGCUUAGUAGAAUGUCAAGACAGGCUUUCCAUUAGGAGCCUGACAGAAGACGGCUUACAACCCCCUCAC